rnacentral:lncRNA from 1 species
CUCCAUACUGCAUUAUUUUUGUAAGUUUUCAUUUGCAUUUUUUUGUUUUAAAUGUGUAACAUCAGUCUUGUUUUAACAUUCCAUAAUGAUGGCGAGUUGGUGUAAUAGGGUUUAGGGAUUUAAGGGGUUAGGAGGUUAGGGGUUUAGGGGUUAGGGGUUAGUGGUUUAAGCUUUACGAUUUUAGGGCUUGAGGGUUUUAGGAGUUAAAGGUUUAGGGGUUUUCAGUUUAAAGGUUUAGGGUUGAGAGAGUAGUGCACCUGUGAGAGCUCGCGUGGGUGGUGAUAUUUAUAUGCCAACAUGGGGAGGUUGGCAAGACGAGGGGAUAAAAAAUUAGUACAGGAUUAAGUAAGUUGUAAAUUGUAAGCAUGUGAGUGUGAGAGAAUGGAACUUCUUCUAUGCUAAACUAGAAGUGCUACAUUAUAUCUCACACCGACAUAUUAAUCAAUCAUUAUAUACAAUGAAUACAUUAUAUAUUUAUAAACUAAGCAAAUACUGUUCUUUUAUUUUAAAAUCAUUAUUUUGACCAAAACCCAAUAAAAUUUUAUUUAUUAGGGGUCGGGUCACCUUGUAGUUGGAUCGUAACAAGUUUGACUAGUCUCGAUCCGAUUUAGAUCGCUCUAAUUGGACUGACUCUUAUUUCGAUUAGUACGUCAGACUUGACCCGUAUCUAGCUUAUAUCGGACAAGACCUCGGACCAAAUCAGGUUGGAUCCGAUCCAUUCAUAGGUUAUUCCGCCUCUUGUCCUCGUCACCACUUCUCUCCACUUGUCUACCCUACAAGCGAAGAAUUCAAGAACUUGAUACUUUUCCUUCGGUCGAUUCCCUCGCCUCCUUUUCUUCCAUUGCUAAACAGAGAAAGGAUAUAUUAUUAUUUCAAAACCCUAAUUUUGGUCAUCUUAGUCGAAGCUCCGGUGGUCAUGGCUUGCCGUCUCUCUCGGUAAGUCUUCUGCCCUCAUUCUGUUGUUGUUAUUGUUCCAUCUCAAUGUACGUACAGUAGUGUAAAGAAAUCUUUCUUUAAUAUUUAUCAUUGAAUUCUUCCUUUGGUUUUGGAUCUCUCCUUCAGAGACUAAACAUGCAGAACUUGUCGAACGAUUAACUUGCUCGUGCCUUUGUUCCGAACUAUAGGUGAUCAAAUUCAAUCUUCAAUUUUUGGCCCUACUUCUUGGUUAACAUUCCUUUUCCUCUUUUCUUUUGCUUGAGAGACCACUUUCUACGUACUUGUUCGCUCUAUUGCUUUGUUUCCACUCUUUCAUGCUAACCACAGUGAGCGACGAGGUAAUUGAGUCGGCGGCAAAGCGUAGGGGAGGAGAUUGUUGGAGGCAUUUGGCAUAACCGUUGUGGUCCUUCAAUUUUGUUUCCUCAUCCUCUUACCCUCCUUUUUUCUCCUCUUGUUGUUUUUCAUCUUCUCCCUUUGUUUUUAUAAAUCCAUUUUCUUCAUAUUUCUCUGAUGUGAUCAGUUAAUCCCUAGAAACUAUGGUUUAUGUGUUGGACCUAGCAGAUUCUGAAGACAAUGAUAUUCUCUUGCAUGCUCGAAAAUUUUAGGGUUUCAACAUCAUCCUCCGCCCAAUGCUUUAUUCUAAUAAUAUUAUUUAAAUAAUAUUAGAAUAUAUAAAUAAUUAAAAUUUUAAAAAU